CUGCAGAUGGUGCUGAAGAGCCAGGAGGCCUAGCACCUGCAGCAGCAGGGGCACCAGCUGCUGUCCCAGUGUGGCAGCAUGCUGAGUCCCGGCAGCAGUUGGCCAUGGAGAAGGAGGCCCUGUGUAGGCUCGUUCUUCUGCACAGGCACCUGGUCAUGCAGCUGCAAGACACAGAACAGGAAAAAAUGGUGGCCCUGGACAGGAUCCCAGGAGAUGCAGGUGAUGGAGCUGCUGAGGCGGGCCCUGGAUGGGGUUCCCCGGCUGCCUCUGACUUCGCACUUUCCAUGCUGCCCACAGGAGGACCUGGAAGCCUCCAGGCUGCAGGAGGAGCAAGCGGCCCCGCUGAGAGUCCUGGCCCUGGCUGGGGCAGGGGACAUGGAGGAAAGGCCUGUGGAGGCUCCGGGGUCCAACACCACCAUCCCCGAAGACUCAGGCAGCUCGGAGGCCUUGGAACACCAGGCUCCGCUGCCCAGACGCCUGAGGCAGCAGAAGGGGCAAUGCCAGCGCCUGGCCCAUCUGGCGGCCCUGACCCAGGACACACCUGGGCACGGGGCUCCCACCCCCAGGAGUACGCACGGGAGAGCUGCAGAGCCCGAUGCCAUCUGCGCCAGAGAGUGGGUGGUAGGGAAAGAAGAGGGGCAUCGGGAGGAGGAGGAGGAAGAGGAGAAGGAGGAGGAAAAAGAGCAAGGGGUGGAGGAGGGAGAGAAACAAGAGCAUAGUAAAGAUGAGGAGGAGAAAGAGGAGGAGAAGGAAAAAGAACAAGGGCAGGAGAAGGAAGAAGAUGAGGUUGAGGAUGUGGAGGAGGUGGACAGAGAGCGCUGCAGGUAGGGCUGCACAUCUCCCGGUGGAGUCAGGGGGCCCACCGCGCCCUCUCCCUCCGGGUAAAGCUGCUUGUGCUGCAGCAGGUGGCGCUGCUGCAGGAGGACGAUGGCAGGUCCUGUCAGGGCCAGUGGGUGGCCGCCGCACAGACCCGUGGUGAGGAGCCCACGGCAGGGCCCAGGAACACCCGGGACGUUGGUGCUGCAGCCGCGGGGGGCGGUGAGUGGAGCCUGGGAGGGGGCAGGGGCAGGAUGGGCAGGGGCACAGUGCUCAGCGCCCGCUGCUCUCUCCCCCAAGGUGCUCCAGAGGGGAGCUCUGCUCACCUUGAGGAGCCCCCAGGAGAAGAGCCCCGGCCGGGGUCCUUCCCACAACCCCAGCUGCCUGAGAGUGAGAACCCCAUCAGGGCCCAGGCUUGGGUCUUCAUCCCUUGGUGCCCUGCGUGCGGUUUUGCUACCUUGCUGAGGAAAAGGACACCGCGCAGCUCAGUUUGAUUCCAAGCCUUUCUCCAGCAAAGCCUGGAGAAGCGGGGCCAGGGCUCUGCCCCCACUGUUCCCCAUUCAGUCCCUGCCUCCCUGUCCCUCCUCUCCUCCCACCUCCCUGUUACCCCUAUAGGAGCAAGAAACGCCACAAAUUUCCUUUUCAUUGAAAAUGUUUUAACUGCUGGGCUGGGAAUUCAGCUCAGUGGUUCUGCUGCCUGCCUCCCCAGCUUGGGGACUGAGUUCGAUCUCCUGCACUGUACAGAUAUUCCACAGCAUAAACA
ensembl:lincRNA